rnacentral:tRNA from 1 species
AACACCAAAUUCAUUUCAUUGAUACAUAAAUGUACCCACCAAUUCAAAUAUUUCAUCAAAUCAUUGAUAAAUGGAUUCAAUUUG